rnacentral:rRNA from 2 species
CAGCAGCCGCGGUAAUACGUAGGGUGCGAGCGUUAAUCGGAAUUACUGGGCGUAAAGCGUGCGCAGGCGGUUUUGUAAGACAGAUGUGAAAUCCCCGGGCUUAACCUGGGAACUGCAUUUGUGACUGCAAGGCUAGAGUAUGGCAGAGGGGGGUAGAAUUCCACGUGUAGCAGUGAAAUGCGUAGAGAUGUGGAGGAAUACCGAUGGCGAAGGCAGCCCCCUGGGCCAAUACUGACGCUCAUGCACGAAAGCGUGGGGAGCAAACAGGAUUAGAUACCCUGGUAGUCCACGCCCUAAACGAUGUCAACUAGUUGUUGGGGAUUCAUUUCCUUAGUAACGUAGCUAACGCGUGAAGUUGACCGCCUGGGGAGUACGGUCGCAAGAUUAAAACUCAAAGGAAUUGAC